rnacentral:tRNA from 1 species
GCCCUAGUAGCUUAAUAUACUAAAGCAUCGGCCUUGUAAUCCGAAGAUUGGGGGCUAAAUUCCUCCCUAGCGCU